UACGAAGGGGGCUAACGUUGCUCGGAAUCACUGGGCGUAAAGGGUGCGUAGGCGGGUCUUUAAGUCAGGGGUGAAAUCCUGGAGCUCAACUCCAGAACUGCCUUUGAUACUGAAGAUCUUGAGUUCGGGAGAGGUGAGUGGAACUGCGAGUGUAGAGGUGAAAAUUCGUAGAUAUUCGCAAGAACACCAGUGGCGAAGGCGGCUCACUGGCCCGAUACUGACGCUGAGGCACGAAAGCGUGGGGAGCGAACAGG
rnacentral:rRNA from 1 species